AUGGCCUGGUCCCCUCUCCUCCUCACCCUCCUCACUCACUGCACAGGUGACUGGAUGCAGGAACAAUCUGUGUUGACUCAGCCAUCAUCUGUGUCUGGGUCUGUGGGCCAGAAGUUCACCAUCUCCUGCACUGGAAGCAGCUCCAACAUUGGACGUGGUUAUGUGAGCUGGUUCCAACAGCUCCCAGGAAUGGCCCCCAGAACCGUCAUCUAUCGUAGUAACUACCGACCAUCGGGGAUCCCGGAUCGAUUUUCUGGCUCCAGUUCUGGCAGCUCAGCCACCCUGACCAUCACUGGGCUCCAGGCUGAGGACGAGGCAGAUUAUUACUGCUCAUCGUGGGACAGCAGUCUGAAAGGUCACACAGAGCUCCAGGCCUGA